GCCCAGACUCCUACGGGAGGCAGCAGUGGGGAAUAUUGGACAAUGGGCGCAAGCCUGAUCCAGCCAUGCCGCGUGAGUGAUGAAGGCCUUAGGGUUGUAAAGCUCUUUUGUCCGGGACGAUAAUGACGGUACCGGAAGAAUAAGCCCCGGCUAACUUCG
rnacentral:rRNA from 1 species